ensembl:lncRNA
ACCGAUUUAAGACCAGAUCCAAAAGAGAGAGAGUCUGGGUCAAGGACAAAUCCAGACAAGAACCUGACAGUGUCAAGACUGAGUCCGAAUGAAAACAAGAUUGGGUCAAAACCGAGACUGAAUGACAGCAAGGCUGGGUCAAGACCGCGACUGAAUGAGAGCAAGGCUGGGUCAAGUCCGCGACUGAAUGAGAGCAAGGCUGGGUCAAGUCCGCGACUGAAUGAGAGCAAGGCUGGGUCAAGUCCGCGACUGAAUGAGAGCAAGGCUGAGUCAAGACCACGACUGAAUGAGAGCAAGGCUGGGUCAAGUCCGCGACUGAAUGAGAGCAAGGCUGAGUCAAGACCGCGACUGAAUGAGAGCAAGGCUGAGUCAAGUCCGCGACUGAAUGAGAGCAAGGCUGGGUCAAGACCGCGACUGAAUGAGAGCAAGGCUGAGUCAAGACCACGACUGAAUGAGAGCAAGGCUGGGUCAAGUCCGCGACUGAAUGAGAGCAAGGCUGAGUCAAGACCGCGACUGAAUGAGAGCAAGGCUGAGUCAAGUCCACGACUGAAUGAGAGCAAGGCUGGGUCAAGUCCGCGACUGAAUGAGAGCAAGGCUGAGUCAAGACCACGACUGAAUGAGAGCAAGGCUGAGUCAAGACCGCGACUGAAUGAGAGCAAGGCUGAGUCAAGUCCGCGACUGAAUGAGAGCAAGGCUGAGUCAAGACCACGACUGAAUGAGAGCAAGGCUGGGUCAAGACCGCGACUGAAUGAGAGCAAGGCUGAGUCAAGACCACGACUGAAUGAGAGCAAGGCUGGGUCAAGACCACGACUGAAUGAGAGCAAGGCUGGGUCAAGACCGCGACUGAAUGAGAGCAAGGCUGAGUCAAGACCACGACUGAAUGAGAGUCCAGAUCAAGGCCGAGUCCAAAUGAGAGCAAGACUGGAUCGAGAGCAAAUCCAAAUGAGAGCAAGACUGGGUCAAGACCAAGUCCAAAUUAAAAGGAGUCCAAAACAGAGCGAGAUGAUUGUGUGUCAUAGAGAGUACUGA